rnacentral:rRNA from 1 species
GACGAACGCUGGCGGCGUGCUUAACACAUGCAAGUCGAACGGAAAGGCCCUGCUUUUGUGGGGUGCUCGAGUGGCGAACGGGUGAGUAACACGUGAGUAACCUGCCCUUGACUUUGGGAUAACUUCAGGAAACUGGGGCUAAUACCGGAUAGGAGCUCCUGCUGCAUGGUGGGGGUUGGAAAGUUUCGGCGGUUGGGGAUGGACUCGCGGCUUAUCAGCUUGUUGGUGGGGUAGUGGCUUACCAAGGCUUUGACGGGUAGCCGGCCUGAGAGGGUGACCGGCCACAUUGGGACUGAGAUACGGCCCAGACUCCUACGGGAGGCAGCAGUGGGGAAUAUUGCACAAUGGGCGGAAGCCUGAUGCAGCAACGCCGCGUGCGGGAUGACGGCCUUCGGGUUGUAAACCGCUUUCGCCUGUGACGAAGCGUGAGUGACGGUAAUGGGUAAAGAAGCACCGGCUAACUACGUGCCAGCAGCCGCGGUGAUACGUAGGGUGCGAGCGUUGUCCGGAUUUAUUGGGCGUAAAGGGCUCGUAGGUGGUUGAUCGCGUCGGAAGUGUAAUCUUGGGGCUUAACCCUGAGCGUGCUUUCGAUACGGGUUGACUUGAGGAAGGUAGGGGAGAAUGGAAUUCCUGGUGGAGCGGUGGAAUGCGCAGAUAUCAGGAGGAACACCAGUGGCGAAGGCGGUUCUCUGGGCCUUUCCUGACGCUGAGGAGCGAAAGCGUGGGGAGCGAACAGGCUUAGAUACCCUGGUAGUCCACGCUGUAAACGGUGGGUACUAGGUGUGGGGUCCAUUCCACGGGUUCCGUGCCGUAGCUAACGCUUUAAGUACCCCGCCUGGGGAGUACGGCCGCAAGGCUAAAACUCAAAGGAAUUGACGGGGCCCCGCACAAGCGGCGGAGCAUGCGGAUUAAUUCGAUGCAACGCGUAGAACCUUACCUGGGUUUGACAUGGAUCGGGAGUGCUCAGAGAUGGGUGUGCCUCUUUUGGGGUCGGUUCACAGGUGGUGCAUGGCUGUCGUCAGCUCGUGUCGUGAGAUGUUGGGUUAAGUCCCGCAACGAGCGCAACCCUUGUUCACUGUUGCCAGCACGUUAUGGUGGGGACUCAGUGGAGACCGCCGGGGUCAACUCGGAGGAAGGUGGGGAUGACGUCAAGUCAUCAUGCCCCUUAUGUCCAGGGCUUCACGCAUGCUACAAUGGCUGGUACAGAGAGUGGCGAGCCUGUGAGGGUGAGCGAAUCUCGGAAAGUCGGUCUCAGUUCGGAUUGGGGUCUGCAACUCGACCUCAUGAAGUCGGAGUCGCUAGUAAUCGCAGAUCAGCAACGCUGCGGUGAAUACGUUCCCGGGGCC